rnacentral:rRNA from 1 species
UACAGAGGUCUCAAGCGUUGUUCGGAUUCAUUGGGCGUAAAGGGUGCGUAGGCGGCGCGGUAAGUCGGGUGUGAAAUCUCGGAGCUUAACUCCGAAACUGCAUUCGAUACUGCCGUGCUUGAGGACUGGAGAGGAGACUGGAAUUUACGGUGUAGGUGAAAUGCGUAGAUAUCGUAAGGAAGACCAGUGGCGAAGGCGGGUCUCUGGACAGUUCCUGACGCUGAGGCACGAAGGUCAGGGGAGCAAACGGG